rnacentral:rRNA from 1 species
UAGGGAAUAUUGGUCAAUGGGCGCAAGCCUGAACCAGCCAUGCCGCGUGAGUGACGAAGGUCUUCGGAUUGUAAAGCUCUUUUCUGAGGGAAGAACCUCCCGGGUAGGAAAUGACCCGGGCUUGACGGUACCUCAGGAAUAAGGGACGGCUAACUCCGUGCCAGCAGCCGCGGUAAUACGGAGGUCCCAAGCGUUGUUCGGAAUUACUGGGCGUAAAGGGAGCGCAGGCGGAAUGAUCAGUCUAAAGUGGAAGCCCGGGGCUUAACCUCGGAAGUGCUUUGGAUACUGUCAUUCUUGAGUAAGUGAGAGGAAGGCGGAAUUCAGGGUGUAGCGGUGAAAUGCUUAGAUAUCCUGAGGAACACCGGUGGCGAAAGCGGCCUUCUGGCACAAUACUGACGCUGAGGCUCGAAAGCGUGGGGAGCGAACA